ensembl:lncRNA
GUCCAUCUGUGAGUAACAGGCACAUUCAAAACUAAAAAAGGUUUUAAUCCAUCUCCACCAGUCGCAGUGGUCCCUAAAGAAAUUUGUCUUACACAAUAUGAAUGAAAUAGCACUGCGUUUGCCAGAAUAUCGAUAUGUCCAAAGUAAAAGCAAUAAGCCCACUCCUUCCCCCUCACCUCUACUCAUUGUAUACUGCAGGUUAGGAUCACUCAAGGAAUCGCUAGUUGGAUAUCUCACUCUAAACGUUUCUUACAUUGAAUCCAUUUGGUGCUUUUCAUCCCACCAUUCAAACCCAACCGGCUGCUUUAACUCACGCAGAUAAACUGCCACAAAAUGAGGGGCAGGUGGUGAACGCAGCCUAUUCAGAAGAUAUUCUAAACCAGGGUUUGUCUCCACUGAAAGAGGAUUACUGGCUAAAGGUGUGGCUCCUUUUAACUCGCAGUAACAUUGCUUGCGCAUGCGUGUACUGUGUGUGUGUGUGUGUGUGUGUGUCUUAACUGGCCAACAUGAACACACCAUUAUGAACCCAGGAUGGGGCUGAAGCUCUUUCAGCACCUCCCCUUCAGAAUGCAGAGGUAAGCCUGGACUCACUUUAAAGCCUGCAUGUGGUUCCAGUGGCGCAGAAGCAGCAAUAAUUCACGGGCGCUCGUUGGAUUGAGGUUGGAGCAUCAAUCACACGCGGGAGAGGAGGCUGAAGUUUGGCACGUCAGGAGAGAUCUCAGAACUAUCCCUGGCAUCUGACCGGCCGCAUCUCAGAUGUGGAAUUUGGCCGGUAAUAACAGCAGAGCAGGAAGGUGUGUCUGUUAUUAUUGUUGAGGCUGCUUGGAACAAUCUCCAGCGCAGAAAGCGUAUCGCCACAUUGAGUAGCAGCGGCUACAUGAGCGGAGGUCCGUGCGCCGGUUCCCAAACUAGGCUGAAUCCCGUCAGAAUGCGGCUCUCCUCUUUCCUGUGUUUGGUUUUUGAAGUGUGACGUGAGUCCAGGGUGUGGUUCUAAAGCCGUGCGUGUGCACACACACACACACACACACAGAGCUACACUGGCCUUGUUGUUUUCCAAGCGCACACAGCUUGACUAAUGACAAAAAAAAGGGUGAGAGGAAGGUUUGUAAAAAGGUAGAAUUUGACAUUUGAGGGAAAAACACAACUUUCUUGCCCCCUUAUGUAGGUGGAUUAACUUCCGAAUUUCGGCACAUAACCCUCAGAUAAAACCACCAGUUGCUCUUUUAACAGUUUGGGUUUAGUGCAGAUCCACCGAGCGAAAGGUUAGGGAGGGCGUCUGCAGUAGUUUUAUGUCCGAAAUGUGCUUAAUGGGUGCAGCCAUGUAUGAGCUGAGGUGUUUGGGCUGCGAGCAGAGACAGGAGUUCACAAGGUUGCCUGAGUGCACGUCUGAGGCGGAGGGAGGAGAGGCGGUGUGGCUGGGUGAGCGCCUUCGGGCAACAAAGUGGGUCAAGCAAGUUUCACCCAGGGGCGGGAAGAUAGCAGUGACCUUCAGUGCACACGCACAAACACACAGAAAACACAGACACGUGCAUGAUGUCACCUGGUAGCUGCAGCACAGACACAAAAUGUCCACUGUCACCUCUUGUUCUAAAUCUAUGUGUGUUGCAUCUCAAACAUUCUGAUCCCAGCGAGAGGAGAUCCGUUCCACAACCUCUCCGGAGGUUGUAUCACAUCCACACACUUUUAAGCGUCACUCCCUUCCGCUUUGUUCUGCUCUCAGUCUCUGUCCUUUUUGGUUAUCUUCUUAGGUGGAGUCUGGCCUCACACACUGGACCAGGCGGUGGUCUAAUCGGAGCUCGGCAGUCACAGGUCACGGGGGGAAAGGGAGAGGGAGGGAGGCGGGAGGACAAAUUAAGGAGGGGAAAGAGGAGAUGGAAGCACAUGGGCUGGCUUUCUUGUAGCAACAGGCCUCCCUUUUAGCCUCUCCUUGUCUGUGUGCUCCCAGCCAGCCCCCCCUGCCAAGUCCUGUCUCUCCCUCGUCCGUCUCCUCCUCUCCCACGAUGAUAACAGGCCGUUGUGUGCAGAGACACCCAAACUACUUUCCCUUCCCUCCCUGGCCUCCUCUUGUGGGACGCUCAACAGAGCCGUCACUGCUGCACACACGCGUAACACAAAGCACCGAGGAACCGUCCGGCUUCAUUGUGCCACUCGGCUGGACCCGGCUCACUUUUUGCGUCGCCUGGUCAGGUCCUUCUCCAUAUUUCGAUUCCCACUGCAGAUGGCAUCCCCUCCGUGUCUCGGCUGACAGCCAUAGUGUUAGAGAUUUCCAUUGGCAUCGUCCUCAACGCCGCACUCGCUGGAGCCUUUCAUUGGCAGUCAAACGACGUCCGCACUUUAUCCUCCGCGGUGUGCGGUCACUACUGACCAUUUAAAAAUGGCGGGUUUGUGCAGGACGCCCUGUGUCAGCAGUAUUUCAGCGCCACCCACUCGUAUUGGCACAGCUUGCGGAAGGCGGUGACAAAGAAAAUACAUACAUUUAGCUGAACGUAACAACAAAAAAGUGAGUUGAGUCGAGCAGCUGGGCCGGAACACGGAAUGGCCGGUUUAUUUAAAUAGCACACUUCUGCAACAAGGCCGCUCUGAAAGCUUUACAUUAGACAACAAAUGCACCAUAACAAAGAGAGCAAAGCCUUAAUCCUGAGAACUGGUGCUUUUGAAAGGAGUAGAAUAGUAUUUACCAUGAACAAGAGUCCCCCACCACUUACAGCGGUGCAGUUAGUGUACGUUCUGAAAGCAUCUGUGCAGAGUGGAGUCAAAGAGCUGAAGAAUUACAAUUGCAAGUGUUUCAAAGGAUGGCAUCAGAAGGGAUAAUUAGAAUUUAAUCAAGCACUUAAAUAAACAGCACUGCAAGGCAUUCAAGUUCCCACCUGUAGUAGCACAGGAGAGACUUUUGCUCGGACUCGGCAUUAAAAGAGGAGAUAAAAAUGUGUACAGUACACACCACUUUUUGCACCUCGGUUUGAUAUCUCGAUGCGUUGUGUGACUAAAGAAAUGCAUAUAGUUAUUACUAACAUAGUGUAGUGGAUGGACUCAACAUCGUAGCAUUGGUAUAAGAUGGAGCAAAGAUUCUGACAGGUUGAUCUGUAGUUAUUAAGCCCCCCCACACCAGAAAGAAGCUGCUGUGUCCACACUGUUUCUCUGUAAUCCCCUUGUGUCCCACUCAUAGAGCUGAUUCGACAUAUUGCCCGGUCUCAUCGACAGGGCAAACACAUUAGCGCACCAUACCCUCGAUGUGCAGAGCGGGCCAAAUUGACUUGUGUGGAAAUGGCUCCCAUCCCAGUAUCAAAUCUCAUUUGGAAAUGAAGAGGAAACAAAUGCACAUUUGGAUACAGUGACAUAAGAACUGGGCCAAGUGGCAUUCCUGGAAUGAACAACUUAUACGCAAUUAGCAUUAAAACAAUGGCUCCUCAGUCAGAGUCAUAACCCGAGAUCAGAGCGGUGAAGAGGCAGAGGGACACGGUGUGUGUGUGUGUCUCUCUGAAAGGCUGCAUGCAUGCUUCGCUGCACACACGUACACUAAAGUAGGGAAAAUAAAAAAGAAAGCUGACUUUGGAUGUUGUUUCAGAAAACAUUCUACAAUGAGAUAAGGGAAAAUAAAAAGCGCAAACACAUCUUUGAAACUCACCCACACAGACACAUAACCCCACACACACACACACACACGCACACACACACACAGGAUUGUGUGCGUGUUUGGCUGUUUGCGUAUCAAACAGACGAGCAGGUCGCUUAAAGCAAAACACCCCGAGGGGGAAACAUGCAAAUCCAUCCAGCAGUUUCCUGAUGGUGUUUGGUGCUACGCCCAUUCUCCAACCGUUUUCUUUUUUCUCCAACAGCAGUUGGACGUGAGCCAAUGCGCGGCGAUCCCAACAACGACCAGGCAAAGACAAAAAUCCCAGAUUUCAGCUGCAUGCCAGACACAAAUUGUGUGAAACAUUCUUCUGAGCUAAGAAGGAAUGUUUUUACUCGCGUCCUGUGAACGGGUCAUUUGUCCUUGCGACUGAUCUCUACGGGUUACGGCCGCUCUCUCUCUCUCUCCCCUCUAUGACGAUGCUCUGAUUCAUAGCGACACUCAUCUCCACCAGACAUUUGCAUCCUCCUCCGGUACGCAUACUCACUUCCUGCUGCACAGAGAGCCAGAAGGAGCAGAGAGGACAGCGAGCACCUCCAAAUAAAACACAGAUGGAAUUUCUCAUGAGGCGUCAGGGGGCUAGAAAGAGGCUUUUAUUUUUCUACAGAAGGGAUCUAAAAUGUGGUAACACGUGUACAUGCACACACACGCACACACACCUCUGACAAUGAAGAAUUGACUCAUUGUUCAGAUACCGUGGGCUGGGUCAUUAAAAUCUUUGUUGAUACAGUGAUUCAGGCCUUUCGUGACUGAAAUGAAGGGCUUUUAAACUUUCUCAUUCACAUUAACAUUCUUGAUCAUUGAUUUCGAACAUUCCCUUAUUCAAAGAUAAAAUAAAUAUCAGUUGAAAAACAACCUUAUCUUUGAUCAGCGCAUAGUAGGUGGAGUGAAAUGGCUCGCUGAUGGCUGCCUCCCUCACUUCAGUGAGCGCCUUUUCUCCUUUACAGGUCCUGCAUGUGUGCAGUUAUGUUCCUUGGUACGAUUUAGAGUGAGAACAAUAACUCUAUUGUUACAAAUGAAUCAUUUUAGGAUGUUAUCUUGGGCUCUGAAAUGAUCACAGAGAAGAGGUACGUCUAACUAAUUUCAGUCAUUAGAUAGAAAAUGAAUAAUCAGAUGAACGGAUCAUUAAACAAUAAUUACAUGUAGACCUACUGUGAUCCUGUGGUCACAUGGUCAAUGGAACAUGUAAAUUAGGGAAGCAAUUGAUAAUGGUUAUCAAUUCGUUUGGCAAUUGUUUUUCAUUAUAAUAUAGUAAUAGUUCUGUCUGCCCAUUUUUAAGUCUCGUUUUAUACAACUAAUGUCCAAAAAUCCAACUAUAUUUAGAUCACAGUCAUGGAUGAAAAGGAAACAAAAAACUAAUUCCCACACUCCCACAGAGUAUUUUCCUUGAGAGCAAUUACUGAAGUGAUAAUCCACUAUAACUAUAUUAGUUUUAGAGUGAAUAGCAGUGUAGUGAGCUCAUGCCUUGACAGUUGUGUGAUGGUCCAGCUUGUGUGUGUAGGGAACACAAGGUUAAUUCAGUCCUCCUCACUCCAUUAAAAGCAGAUGGAGACACAAUCAGCUGUUUCUGUAUCCCGCCAAGCAGGAUUUCCUCUUUCCAGAACAUUUCUGCUAUGCUGAUGUGUGACAGAGCUCUUUGUGAAUACACGCACACACAUCAUAUAUAUACAAACACACACACCCUGUCAACCAUGCUUUUGAAGCCUCAGUUAGGGACGAUAAGAAGCGGGUGUAACGACAUGCUUUCUGCUAUAAAGAAGCAGACAAUCUCCCAAGAAACAAGAAGUCAAAGGAAUGAAAGGCAAUAAAGACAUUUCAGAGAGGAGUCUGCUGCCCUUCUUAGCUGCAUGGAAAUCCAUUUCAACGGCUGCGUCUCCGUUCUUCGCAAACCCUCUACAACAGAGCCCUGUCCCUGGAGAUCAAAUGCAUAAUUUGUGCUCCGAUCAUCUACUGUCUCUCACAGCAGAGCACUGAAACUCCAUUUAACAUCAGCCCCCCUUUGAAAGAAGAACAUAGGCUGGAGAGACACACUAUGGCAGAUAACAGCUAUGGUACACAGACGACCCAUUCAGUACUGCUCACAGACCAAGCCGGCCUGCAGCCAGUUAUCGCAGCGCUUCGUCCCUCUUACGGCCUUGGACGCGGUGUGAGAACUGAGAUAGAACCCAAACACUCGCGUCUGUUCUGCUGUGAAAAUCUUUACCUUCGCCUCUAUUUCAGUAAACAAAGAUUAAAGUGUUAACUCAUCACCCGACAGUGGAGGGCUCUUUGUUAAGUGAGCGGCCAUUGGUAAAUCUGAAUGACCUCCACUUGAAGGGACUGAAUGGAGAGUCUGCAUAAAUCAGUCUUUAUGUAGAGCACUAGUAAACCCCUGACAGAAGGUUAGUGCUCCGUCCAAUGAGCCCGCCACGUACAGUGAGGCUUUCCCUCGCACCCACUCCCUCCACUGACCAGGGAGACACAAGACCGACCUGUGGCAAGAAAGGCCUCCCCAACAUCUGUGUUUAUACUCUGGGUGAAGCUAGCAGGCUAUAUUUACCCCGGUUAAACAUGUCCAGGGCAGAGAGGAACACAAAGAUGUAGCCUGAGACACCUACUUGGGUCUCCGAGCCUUUGUAAAAAGAUAGAAACUGCACUAUUAUGCGGAGGAAGCGCAUUUGAAGACAUUUACUCACGAAGCUGUGAUUUGUCCGAUUCAUCAUCUUCCCCGAGAAGAAGAAACAGAUUGGUAAACAACACCUUGAGGCUAUCUGACCUCUGCGGGAGUGAGAAGAAAAAAAUGGAGGCUCUGUAGAUCAACUGCCUACCUAGCAAAUGCCUUAUGGCUGCACAGGGCAUACAGCACUUACUCAUUUCAGGAAACAUUGGUGUGCUCCUCUCUGUGUAAAUCUCUGACCUGUCUGACCUGACACGGUCAUGCACGCUGACUUAUGGAUAAGACCCUCAGGAGAGGCCCAUGCAUCAAAGGCAGGGGACAGGGGGGGGUUUCUCUGCAUUACAGCUGGUAGUCUGAUGCUAUUUCGUCUUAAACUGUAACACCUGCCCUCUGACUAAUACGCGAAUGGUGCAGGGCUACCGGGCUUUGUUCCAGUCACCAUAGACUAUAUGGGACACGGGUAGGAUUGUUACGAUACAGGCUGUUUUAAUGUCUUGCUCCAUAUGUUAUUGAUUGUUCCAGGGUAAAUCGAUGUUGGUAUUGAUGCCUUCCUGUUGCACGUGGCGAGUGUGAUAUGUGACUAGUUGCAGACCUGCAGCCACUCUCUAUUUAAGGUGGCUCCUGGUUUUCACAAACUGUUUGCCUGAUGGAGGUCCACUGGAAGUGGAAUAAAUCUAUAUUUGCAAGUUAGACAGUAAUAUAUAUAUAUAUAUAUAUAUAUAUAUAUAUA